rnacentral:rRNA from 1 species
UACGAAGGGGGCUAGCGUUGUUCGGAAUUACUGGGCGUAAAGCGCGCGCAGGCGGUCUUCCAAGUCAGUGGUGAAAGCCUGGAGCUCAACUCCAGAACUGCCAUUGAAACUGUUGGACUUGAGUACGAGAGAGGUGAGCGGAAUUCCCAGUGUAGAGGUGAAAUUCGUAGAUAUUGGGAAGAACACCAGUGGCGAAGGCGGCUCACUGGCUCGUAACUGACGCUCAGGCGCGACAGCGUGGGGAUCAAACAGG